GACUCUCGACAACAGAUAACUCGAUGCUCGCAUCGAUGAAGAAUGUAGUAAAAUGCGAUACUUUGUGUGAAUUGUAGAAUCCCAUGAACCAUAGAGUAUUUGAAUGCAAGUUGCGAUCGAAGCCAUUAGGCCAAGGGCACGUCUGCUUGGGUGUUA